GGCCUUUGGGCUGUAAACCUCUUUUCUCAAGGAAGAAGAUCUGACGGUACUUGAGGAAUAAGCCACGGCUAAUUCCGUGCCAGCAGCCGCGGUAAUACGGGAGUGGCAAGCGUUAUCCGGAAUUAUUGGGCGUAAAGCGUCCGCAGGUGGCCUAGCAAGUCCGUUGUUAAAUCGUGGGGCUUAACCCCAUCAUGAUGGUGGAAACUGCUGGGCUUGAGUGUGGUAGGGGCAGAGGGAAUUCCCGGUGUAGCGGUGAAAUGCGUAGAUAUCGGGAAGAACACCAGUGGCGAAGGCGCUCUGCUGGGCCAUCACUGACACUCAUGGACGAAAGCCAGGGGAGCGAAAGGGAUUAGAUACCCCUGUAGUCA
rnacentral:rRNA from 1 species